rnacentral:tRNA from 1 species
GUUGGCCUUGGCGUCGGUUUUGGCGUCGGGCUUGGCGUACUCGGUGUGGUCGCUGGGGGUGGAGUUGUUGGUGCGGGGUCAACAGCCAUCGC